rnacentral:tRNA from 1 species
GGCCUUAUAGUUCAAGGGAUAGAACAAGAGUUUCCUAAACUUUAGAUCCAGGUUCGAGUCCUGGUAAGGCCACCA